GAUGAACGCUGGCGGCGUGCCUAAUACAUGCAAGUCGAGCGAACAGACGAGGAGCUUGCUCCUCUGACGUUAGCGGCGGACGGGUGAGUAACACGUGGAUAACCUACCUAUAAGACUGGGAUAACUUCGGGAAACCGUAGCUAAUACCGGAUAAUAUAUUGAACCUCAUUGUUCAAUAGUGAAAGACGGUUUUGCUGUCACUUAUAGAUGGAUCCGCGCCGCAUUAGCUAGUUGGUAAGGUAACGGCUUACCAAGGCAACGAUGCGUAGCCGACCUGAGAGGGUGAUCGGCCACACGGGAACUGAGACACGGCCGAGACUCCGACGGGAGGCAGCAGUAGGGAAUCUUCCGCAAUGGGGGAAAGCGUGACGGAGCAACGCCGCGGGAGUGAUGAAGGUCUUAGGAUCGUAAAACGCUGUUAUUAGGGAAGAACAAAUGUGUAAGUAACUAUGCACGUCUUGACGGUACCGAAUCAGAAAGCCACGGCUAACUACGUG
rnacentral:rRNA from 1 species